rnacentral:lncRNA from 1 species
UUUUGGACUUAUCAUAUAAAAUGUAGAGCUCGUCGAGAGGAACAUUUUAUACGCUGUAUGUAUGCAGCAAAGUCUUAUCGUUUUCCUAAUAUGUAAGCUUGAAAUUGCAGCGUAAUUUUAUUUUGCACUCUGUGACCUUUGACCUUUGAUGCAUAUUAAAGGUCACAUGAAUUAAAGAUUAUUGGUGAAUGUCCCAAGUCUCUACGACUUCCGGUUCUGGAAAUACAUUUUUUCUAAAAUUGUACACAAUUUUUCAAGGGGAAUAACUCCUUAUAAGGGUUAAUAACAAAAUGAUUGUAUAUGUUCAUUAACAUUGCCAUCUGUUCCUGUACAUAUUGCCGUUUUCAAAUCAAUUCUAUCUCUUAUACUUUUUGAGAAAAAUGCAAAGGAAAGAAAUUGUUUCAAGGGGAUAUAACUCUCAUAGAGGACAAUAAAAUCCUAUUCAACCUCAUAUGGUAAUAAAUCAUGAUGAGAUCUACCUAUUGUCCAAAUAAUGUCAUGAUAUUUUUAAAAACAACGAGGAGGUGCCGUGUUGAAAAAAAUCAAUAAAAGGGAGAUAACUUCUAAAGAGGAUGAUGAAAUCCUUAACAGGGUCUUUUGGUAAAACUGCAUGAUGAGGUCUAUCAAUGGUCCAUAUUUGGUCUUGGUAACUUUAACAGAAAGAAGGGGCGGGCAUGUCAAAAAAAUGUUGGAAGAAAAAAAAAAAAAAAGAAAAAAAAAAACAUUAGAAAAACAAUAAGGUCUUUCCUCGCGGAGAGGAAAGACCUUAAAUAUUUAUAUUGAAA